UUGCGCGGCGGUAUACGCUUGUAAGUUUAGGUGUGUCGUCAUACAGAGAAGGCCAGUAGCUCGAGAGCAACCAAAGGCAUAUAAGCGCUGAGCGUGAAGGCGGCGUAUGUGCACCACCGGCAGACCCUCAUGCGAGAGGCUCGUUCGGGCUGAAGUCAGUCAUGAUUUCCAAUGGACCAAAGAAGCAAAACGAUAGAGGCGUAAACUAUACGCAUCGGUGAAUGGCAAGAAACGCCUCCAAUCACCGUGCAAGCGCAUGUGCGCAUGGCGGAAAGGAGGUGACACGUGAUGGUAAAGGCUCUCCUCUCUCCUCUCUCUUGCCGACACUUGUGUGCUGCCCUCGCUCUCGUGUGUGUGUGUGUGUGUGUGUGUGUGUGUGUGUGCUGCGUCGUGUUGUGAAUUGAGGUGUCUUAAUGGCCUCCAUUCCUUUUCUAGGGAUUCACAAAGCUUUUCACCGCCACACGGGGAUACCUUAGCGCACACACGCAUGCAACGCCCCUGCACGUGCUGCAACUUUAGAUGCGUGUCUCUCUACUCUGUUUCGUGCAUGUCCUCCCCACUCCCCUCUGCUUUUCUCUCCUGUCUUUCGCACAG
rnacentral:misc_RNA from 1 species